rnacentral:rRNA from 1 species
GACGAACGCUGGCGGCGUGCUUAACACAUGCAAGUCGAACGGAAAGGCCCUGCUUUUGUGUGGUGCUCGAGUGGCGAACGGGUGAGUAACACGUGAGUAACCUGCCCUUGACUUUGGGAUAACUUCAGGAAACUGGGGCUAAUACCGGAUAGGAGCUCCUGCUGCAUGGUGGGGGUUGGAAAGUUUCGGCGGUUGGGGAUGGACUCGCGGCUUAUCCGCUUGUUGGUGUGGUAGUGGCUUACCAAGGCUUUGACGGGUAGCCGGCCUGAGAGGGUGACCGGCCACAUUGGGACUGAGAGACGGACCAGAAUCCUACGGGAGGCAGCAGUGGGGAAUAUUGCACAAUGGGCGGAAGCCUGAUGCAGCAACGCCGCGUGCGGGAUGACGGCCUUCGGGUUGUAAACCGCUUUCGCCUGUGACGAAGCGUGAGUGACGGUAAUGGGUAAAGAAGCACCGGCUAACUACGUG